CAGCGCUGUUGUUUUGUUCCAACUGACAAAACAGCUAAGAAACAGCAGAACAUGACUGCCCUUUGCAAAAUGGGCCAUGUGAUCCUCCUAGCUCAAUUCAACACUUACAGUAAAAACGAAUAGAAAGGGACCUGUUUAUGAAACUCUCCUGCUUGCCUUUGGAAUACUCUCAUCCUCUCCCUUCUCAGCCUCCUAAAUACCCAAGUGAAUUUAUAUAAUGAGCUUUAUUUUAUCACCCUGAAAUUCUUCCUCAGUCCAAAUUGCUAAUGUGGCAGGUUCCAGCUGCCCAAAUUCCCUAAACAACAUUGCCUGUUCCAUAAAAAGCAUGCAAUUACAAGCACAGCAGUCCUGCUCUGGUUCUUAGAACUAUAAACUGACUACACAGCUCCCUGGCCCGGGAAGGCUAUGAAACAGGCAACAUGGACAAUUUAAAGGUGUACAACAUCCGAGGUUCCAUUUCACCCUCAGGCAGCACGGAGUGGACAAGAGAUGGGGUCUCACUUUGUCACCCAGGCUGGGCUCAAACUCUUGGCUUCAAGCGAUCUUCUCGCCUUGGUCUCCCAAAGUGCUGGGAUUACAGGCUUGAACUACUGUACUCGACUGACUUUUCCUAUUUCUAAUGUCAGCAUGAAGAACACAAGAAGUCAGCUUCAAAGAUAAUGAAAAAUAAAACCAAGAUUCUCUUCUUUGCUGAUGAAGUCAGGAAGGUGGAAAGGGCAAAGCAAGAACUCUCACUCUUACCCUAUGAGUAAUUUCAAUAGAAAUCAAAGGCGUUAACUUCUCGGGUCCUCAAUUUUUUCUUCUCUAAAAAGAAAGAAUUGUUUAAUAAAACUCAUCCAAGGCUACAAUCAUCAAUGGCAGCUAAAACCACUUAGUGAAAGAAUUUUUUUUUUAAUAAAAAAAGGACAUUGGAUGAUGUCUCAACUCCCAAGCACUUGAUGUUUGACUUGGGAGUGGUGCCCUCAGUCACACCUAAAACUAUCUGCGGCAGACCCUGUUCUUUUUGGCUGACACAAAUGCCAUUCCCAACCUCCUUCUCCUCCUGUCUUGUCUCAAUCGUAGAGUCUAGAAGAGCAAACAUUCACUUUGCAGCCUCCCUUGUACCAAGGAGUGGCCAUGAGACAAUUCUGCCCAAUGAAUCAGAAGAGGAAUUGUGUUGAGGAUUUCUGGAAAGACUACUUCUUUUCCCAAGAAAAAGUGACAGACGCAGUAGGGGCUGAGCAACUUCCGUGCCUCUUCCAGCCUUACGGAUGUGCUGUUGGUAGCUGUGACUGCCUUGCUACUACGAGGAAAAGGAAGGCCAAGAGAAUAGCAGAGACACUCGCUCUGAUGCCUUUGAGCCAAUGAAUCAAUGCCAGAAGCAGCUGACCUCCAGAGUUCUUGUUACAGGAUUAAAAUAAAUCUCUACUUAUUUGCCAUUGUCACUUUGGUUUGUUUGUUUGUUUACUUGUUGCCAAGCACAUUCCUAACUGAUACACUGUUCACCAGAUUCCCUGGGAUUAGACAAUCAAACAUCUUUCUGUAACCAAGAAUGCAAAAGCUCCUCAACUGGAAAAUACUCAUGUGAAAGUUUAAAGGAAAAGCACAGGGAGUGAAAUAAAAUGCUUUCUUCUCCUGCCCACGGAAUCCAUUUAUUUCAUGUAGCUGUAAAAUCAGCCCUUUGCCCAAUUUCAUCAAGUCACAAAUUCUCAGGAUUGGAAAGGCAUUACUUUUAACCACCUGAUCUCCCUCUAAACAACCUCAUUAAGCAGCUAUUUAGCCUCUUCUUGAAUUAUGUAUAGUGACAAGGAAUUCAUUAUCUCUAGAAGGAGCCUAUAUUUUCUUUGGACAACUAUUUUAGAAGGGUCUAUCUUACAUUAACUUGCUUUUUCUAUGUCUUCGUUCGACCUUUUGAGAAACACAGAACAGAAAGAAUCUCUUUUACGAAUGAGAGCCAUCCAAAGAGCUGAAGGCAGCUGUCAUAUCACCUCAUCUGCACAGUGAUAUCCACCAGUUCCUUCCACCUUUCCUCCUGAGAGAGGUGUCAAGUUCUAAUGAAUGCCAGUCACAUAUAUAAUUUUAAAUUGUCUAGUAGCCACGUUUUAAAAAGGAAAAGCCAGAUGAAAUUAAUUUUAAUAUAUUUU
rnacentral:lncRNA from 1 species